rnacentral:rRNA from 1 species
CAAAAACAAUUCUACAUACACCCGUCUCUCUAUCCCCACGAGAACACGAACCAUCCCGGCCACCCGGCGCUAGGGUUCCCUCCGCCGCCGCGCCCCAUCCCUCCGCUCCCAGCAACCCUCUCCACCCUCUCCCAUCCCCAGUCGUCGUCGUAGCCCCUCGCCGCCGUUCGAUAUCCAAGACGGAGCCUCGGCCGACAGCUCCUUGGAGCACGCCGCCCGCCGGUGGAUGCCCUGAUUCUACGCGACCCCGCCGGAGACUCACCUCGCCACCUUGGCGCCUCCUGCAGGAUCUCCGUCACCGCCUAGCGCUUCUGUGCGCAAGGAUGCCGACGCCUCUCCCUGGCCCUCGUGGCGGACAGCCUCCAGCCCACACAAGCUUCCCUGUUCUGGCUUUGUCGGCUACCAUGAUUCAAUGAUGACAACACGCACACCUUUCCCUGAUGCUUGGGCAAAGGCAUGUAUGUCCGAUGUGCAGGCAAAACUUUAUAGAUGCAGAUUACAUACAUUAGAAAUUGCCAACUCGGUGGAUGAUAAAUACUAUGACUUGGGACUCAGAAAAAAGAUCAACACGUAGAUGCAGAUUACAUAGAUCAGGACUUGCUAACUCGGCGUAUGACACAUACUAAACGACAUCAACACGUAGGUGAGACCAUUGACUAUUAGAGGUGAGUCGGCAAGCUGUUUUCUUCUAUGGUUUGGCAUGUAACUUUGUGUUCUCUAGCUCUUUUUAGUUUUAUAUUUUUCUAACAAACAAGACCAACCUUAACUUAAGAAGAAAAGCAUCAUUAUAACCAUGAAAAAAAACUGCUUAAAUGUAAGGCUUUUGUUCGUCUAUUAAGUCAUUACCCUUCUAAACGAGACACGGAAAUGAUGAAUUCUUACAUGGUAAGUUUUUGUUUCAUUUUCAUUCUUUGCCUUAUCCCGUGUUGGAAAAGAAGUUCAAUUGUUUUUUUCCUCACAAUGUACCAAAGAUUCUGAUGAAAGAUGCUUAUUUUUCUCUCAGCUUCAAGAAACAGUCACUAUAUACUCUGUUUUGUAUAUAUUAUGUAGUUGUAAGGAGAUGUUUUAUUUUCUUUAUAUGCUACUAUUUUAACAUCUUGGAGGAGUCCUGAAUUUAUUGGAGACAACAAAGUGGGCGCACCAUGUGAGUUAUUUGGCACCUUGAUGCAGCAAAUCAACACAUGUUUGAGCUACAAUUGAGGUCACUUAAAUAAAUGUAACGUGAUUUACCCCUUUAUUUCUUUAUCUCGAGAGACAAUGUAGAUAUAUGCAUGUGUUUACAUUUGUUGUGGUUGCAUGUAUCCUUGACUUUUGUUAGGCUGGGGACAAGCGUAUCAAUUUGUAUAAUGCUAAUAAUGUUGUCACAUAAUAGUGUAAUGUAUGUGUUAUUGUGAUGUUAUCCAGUCAAACUCUUUAGAAAACAAUGGUCGCCGCAAGAAGUUGGCUGCGGUGAUUGUUGAAUAUAGAUGGGAGCUUCUUUGAGGAAAGCCAAAUAAGCGGCUGGGGAUGUAUCUCGCGGGACUUGAUGGUUACAGUUUGGGGAGUAGCAGAGUUGCUUGCUAGCAUCUUUUUUUCUUGCAUCUAUGAACUGAUGAUGCUUUACUUGUUGUUGUUUCCCGUGGUACUACAUUAUGGCUCACUGUUGUUUAUGCUCGGACAUCAGCAGAGGAAUAGACUCGGCAAGGAAGGGAGCUACUCCAGUGUAGUCGGUGGAAUUGACUGGCAAAGUAAAUCAUGAAGCUCCUGGUUGGACCAAGAGGCUGAGAAUUGGGGCUGCACCUCCUACAACAGUCAGUUUCGUUGGUGGCCUGCCAACAACACUGGUGAAGGAAUAAGGGUGGCCCGAGACCGAUAACAGGGGGCUCUUGAACUGGCAAAGCCAGAAACCACCAUCGCUUCAUUGUCCCCGGAGAUCGUUUGGUGAUGUCCGAUGGAUAUCACGUGACGGAGUGGAGACGCACACUCCCCUGCCCCAAAUUUGGUGCCGCCACCUACCAAUGCGGGGCACAGUCCUGCCUGACCCAGCCUACAUCUUGAUUGUAAAUUUCUCUCACCUUCUAUCUCGUGUUCAUGUGGUCGUAUUGAUUUUGCCUUUAGAGAAGUGUUGAAAGAAGAUUAUGUGCUUCAGACGACUGAAUGUCCAGUAAUAUCAUCAACCUUCAGCCAACAGCGGCUCCGAACUCUAUCACCUCAAAUGGUUUAGCAUAGAUCAGUCACAUGUGAGGAUGAAAGCUUGGAUCAGCUUCUGUAGUCGCUAUCUUUCAUUUACUACCGAGUUUUCUUAUGGUUAUAGGAUAGAAACUUUGUAUUAUUUUGCCAUCUUCUUUCCUUCGUGAAACUAGCUGCAGCAAGUAGCAAUUUAAAUUGAUGCGAGAAAGUAUCUAUCUUUAAUGUCCAACUGAAGAUUUUUCAGUUGAAAACAUCAACCAUGAUACAACAAAUCCUCAUGGUCAGCAAUCUUACCGUUAUAAAGUUUCAGUCAUCCUUUUAGAUAAUUAGGCCUGAGCUCGUUAACUUCCCAUCUUAAGAAACUGUUGUCAAGGUAGUAGUGGAUGCUGCAAUUGAUAAUUACUUGUGCUCUGAGAUGGUGGCUCCUGAAAAUGAUUCAGCACAUCCUUGUGAUUUUGAAG